rnacentral:rRNA from 1 species
GAUGAACGCUGGCGGCGUGCUUAACACAUGCAAGUCGAACGAAGCACUUUAUUUGAUUUCCUUCGGGACUGAUUAUUUUGUGACUGAGUGGCGGACGGGUGAGUAACGCGUGGGUAACCUGCCUUGUACAGGGGGAUAACAGUUGGAAACGGCUGCUAAUACCGCAUAAGCGCACGGCAUCGCAUGAUGCAGUGUGAAAAACUCCGGUGGUAUAAGAUGGACCCGCGUUGGAUUAGCUAGUUGGUGAGGUAACGGCCCACCAAGGCGACGAUCCAUAGCCGACCUGAGAGGGUGACCGGCCACAUUGGGACUGAGACACGGCCCAAACUCCUACGGGAGGCAGCAGUGGGGAAUAUUGCACAAUGGGCGAAAGCCUGAUGCAGCGACGCCGCGUGAGCGAAGAAGUAUUUCGGGAUGUAAAGCUCUAUCAGCAGGGAAGAUAAUGACGGUACCUGACGAAGAAGCACCGGCUAAAUACGUG